rnacentral:rRNA from 1 species
UGCCCNCUGAUAAUUAUUAAAGGGCUGCAGUAUUUUGACUGUACAAAGGUAGCAUAAUCAUUAGUCAUUUAAUUGAUGACUUGUAUGAACGAUUAGAUGAAAUAUAAACUGUUUUUUAUGUAAAUUAUAGAAUUUAAUUUUUUUAUUAAAAAGUAAAAAUAAAUUAAAAAGACGAGAAGACCCUCUAGAGUUUUAUUAUUAUNAAUAUUUUAAUUNNUUNNAAAUUUANGANUUNNNNUAUUUAUNNNAUUUUUAUUGGGGUGAUAUNAAAAUUNAAACAACUUUUUAUUGAAGAUAACAUAAAUAAGUGAGUGAUUGAUCCAUUAAUAAUGAUUAAAAGAUUAAAUUACCUUAGGGAUAACAGCGUAAUUUUUUUUUUUAGUUCAAAUAAAAAAAAAAGUUUGCGACCUCGAUGUUGGAUUAAGAUAAAAUUUAAAUGCAGAAGUUUAAAAUUUUUGA